AGAGAUAGCAGUCGCCACGGGAACACGUAGGGGGCAAGCGUUACCCGGAAUAACUGGGUGUAAAGGGUGCGCAGGUGGUUUAACAAGUUAGUGGUGAAAGGCAUAGGCUCAACCAAUGUAAGCCAUUAAAACUGUUUAACUUGAGUGCAGGAGAGGAAAGUGGAAUUCCUAGUGUAGCGGUGAAAUGCGUAGAUAUUAGGAGGAAUACCAGUGGCGAAGGCGACUUUCUGGACGAAAACUGACGCUGAGGCGCGAAAGCGUGGGGAGCAAACAGGAUUAGAUACCCGUGUAGUCCCUGUCUCUUAUACA
rnacentral:rRNA from 1 species